UCCCUGGUAGCUCAGACAGUAAAGAGUCUGCCUGCAAUGCAGAAGACCCAGGUUUGAUUCCUGGGUAAGGAA
rnacentral:tRNA from 1 species